ACACCCGGGGGGGAUACUCUGGGAGGGGAGGACACUCUUCCAUUCCCCUACAAACUAAUUGACACUUUCCUCGACCACUUAUCGGUUUCCGGGCCACGGAGGAGAGAGGACGCAGGAGUCGAAGAGAGGAAGUUAUUUUUCCCAAGUGUCUAUUAGCCAAUAUACAUGAAUUGAAUAAGAUAUUCAUACAUGGCAAAAUAGCUAAGCAAAAUGGAGAACACCAACGCAUUUGUGAGAGUCUCAGCUUUCCGUGUGGACCCUACAGGCCUUUUCAUGAGAAGAGCGAUUUUUGGAAUGUCUCCUGGUCUGACAAUCACCGCUGUAGUUCUGCCACCUUUCACCGCAGAUGCGGAAAGCCGACGUUGGCGGAUGCGGUGGA